AGUGGAGUUGCUGGAUCAUAUGGUAACUCUGUGUUUAACUAUUUGAAGAACUACCAGACUGUUUUCCAAAGUGGCUGCACCAUUUUCCAUUUCCAUCAGCAGU
rnacentral:pre_miRNA from 1 species